CGCAGAUGAUGGUUUGUUCUCACGAUGGUCUGCAAUUGCCACUAAAGGCGCUGCCGAAAAUGCCCAUGGCUCAGCUGAUGCCAGGAG
ensembl:snoRNA